rnacentral:rRNA from 2 species
CGGGUGAGUAUUUUGUGGGAACGUACCUUUUGGUUCGGAACAACACAGGGAAACUUGUGCUAAUACCGGAUAAGCCCUUACGGGGAAAGAUUUAUCGCCGAAAGAUCGGCCCGCGUCUGAUUAGCUAGUUGGUAGGGUAAUGGCCUACCAAGGCGACGAUCAGUAGCUGGUCUGAGAGGUUGAUCAGCCACAUUGGGACUGAGACACGGCCCAAACUCCUACGGAAGGCAGCAGUGGGGAAUAUUGGACAAUGGGGGCAACCCUGAUCCAGCCAUGCCACGUGAGUGAUGAAGGCCCUAGGGUUGUAAAGCUCUUUUGUGCGGGAAGAUAUUGACGGUACCGCAAGAAUAAGCCCGGCUAAUUUCUGCCACAACCCCGGUAUACAAAGGUCUAGCUUCUCCGAAUCCCUGGCGAAAAGGGCGUAGCGGUCUUUAGUAAGGGUGAAA